rnacentral:lncRNA from 1 species
CGGAAAUUAUUAUUUGUGGUUGGCUUAGUAGUUCCAGUUCUCUCAUUUUAAGCUAUUAUAUUGAUGAUAAACCAUCUACUGAAAGCCUGGCACAACAUCCUGGGUUGGUUUUUCCUAGAAGAUUUUCAGACUUAAAUACUAAUAUUUACAAUUUUUAGGUUUGUUUCCUUCCUGGGACUCUUGCACUUGGUGCUACCAAAGGUAUAACGAAGGAAAAGGCUAUGAGAGAAAAUUUGCUCACUUUCGAAGACAUUGAAAACCUGAAGCUUGCAGAAGAGUUGGCAAAAACAUGCUUUGAGAUGUACUCCGUAACUGCCACUGGUCUUGCUCCAGAAAUAGCCUACUUUAGUGUGAAGGUUAGUUGAACUCUCAUAUCAUCUAGUGUUUUUAAAUGUGCUGGUUCAUAAUUAUUUCUAUCUUAAAUUCAGGGGGACUCUGAAGAAGGUUCUGAUGGUGGAAACAAAAGUUCAAAGUAUCUACAUGACAUAAUUAUCCACCCUGCUGAUCGUCACAAUCUCUUACGUCCUGAAACUGUUGAAUCAUUGUUUGUCUUGUAUCGUAUCACAGAAGAUCAGAAGUAAGAUCCAUUUGUUUGUAAUAUUGGAUUAUAUAUUUUGUUCCAUGCUUUUAUUUCACAUAAUGUUAAUAGUUACAUCUACUGUUUGACGACGCAUGCAGAUAUCGUGAAUGGGGUUGGGAAAUAUUUGAGGCAUUUGAGAAGUAUACAAAAGUUGAUUCUGGAGGUUACACUUCUUUAGAUGAUGUUACUGUGGUUCCUCCUCGAAGAAGGGACAAGAUGGAAACCUUCUUCUUGGGUGAAACGCUGAAGUAUCUAUAUUUACUGUUUUCAGAUAACAAAACUAUUCCCUUGGAUGAGUUUGUUUUUAACACAGAAGCUCAUCCAUUGCCAAUCAGAAGUAAUGCUAAGAGGGAAUGAUAUUCUGACUGCAGCACUGGCAAUUGUACAAUUCCCAUCUUGUUGUUCCUCUAAAUGGAACCAUGUAAUGAACAUUGUUCAAUUGUUGUAUCUUAAAGCAGUAGGGAUCCUGGCCCAUUAUAUUGACAAAUAGCAUUGGGGAUAACUUCAUUUACUCAUCUACAGUGCACGACCUCAGGCUGCCUCUUAACACACUAAAAUUCCCAAUUACGGGAAAAGGUUUUGGAGUUCUUUAUACAGUACGCGUGGCGUAAUACAUCAUUGCAGUGUUGCAUGUUGAUCUUCUGUUUAUUAUAUCUGUCAGGAUAACCUUAACUAUAUUCUAGACUGUUGGUCGGAUAAGUGGAAGUUUCUUCUCAGUUUCGUAUCAUUGUCAAUAUAUCUCUGGUACGAUAAACAAAUGGUCUCCAUAUUGGAUGACAUUUGAUUUUCUGAUUCUGGUUUCUCCAGAUUUACAGCUUUGGUAGGAUAAUGGCCUCCAAAGUUGCAAUUCUGUAUGGCAGAGGAUGAUAAAUUCAUUAAACAUCAACCUGAGGCUGAGUAGCAGUUUAUUCCAGUAGCACAGCGAUUCCUUUUCUGGAUCUGUGCUUUUUUGAGUUUCAGUUGAAUAUGGAUUUGCUGACAAUAAGUAUAUAGAUUAAGUUAAUGACUUGUAUCUGUAAUUUCAGGUUUGUUCAAAGUCAUACAAGGCUUCCCCGCGAUACGGAAUACUUCUUCUAUGAAAUCAGGUCAGAUUAUUAACGUUGCAAGCUGCUUUGAUGGUGCACUUUGUUUUAUAAUCUUCGUGUGGGUGGAGAGUCUUUUUAUUGAAUUUAUUAAAAAUAAGUCUCAGACCGAUGCUUUAAAUUAGUUGAGCCAUAUAAAAUCAAAAUAUCAAUGUAUGGAUCGAAAUAACUGAUUUUCCCAUUUGGUGUUGGUUUAAAUCUUUUAGUAGUGGUAGAUUUUAUGAAAAAAUUUCUUUGUGCUCAUCCAUUGACCUCCCAGUUUUAUAGUUUGUACAUCGUCAUUUUGGGAUGUGCUUCCAUGCUAUUCUGCUAGAGCUUUUGGUGUCUACUUAUUGAAAUAUGGAUUGUUGCUACAACCUUCUUCCAACAACAUCCUUGCAGUUUUAUGGCGCCUCUAGCAAAUGCUCCUUUAUUGACUUCACAUUCAUCCUAUAUAUGUAUUAAACAUUAUUGCCUUUUGCUUCCACAUCUCCACAAAAUAACAUCUGCUUUUGUGACAUAAAAAUGGAUUUCUCCCUCCGGCUCACUAUCCAGCGGCUGGCUGAAGUAUCAUUUCUGCUGUUUAAACUUUUUCUUCAAGUUCUCCCAUUUCCUUAUAAAACAGAAAUACAGAAUUGAACUUUUUGAAAUAGCGCCCAUCUAUAAUUAUGAAGGUCUAAAAUUUACUGAAGAAAAUAUUCCUGAAAAAUUUUCCUCCCCAUUUGCCUCAGUAUUGGCCAUUGGAGCAAAUUGACUAGGUCUAUGUAUUUGAGGACUUUCAGCGGUUUCGCCAGUAAUUGGUUGUGGUAUGUAGCACAGAACCCCUGGUUCUCCAAACACAAACCCGGAAAUACCUAUUGGAAAAGAACUUGCAUGACUGAUUUUCCGAACAGGGAGCUGACUCGCCUAAGACAGCGUACUGUGCACAGGCUUAGGGCUAAAACUUUGUUCACUUUUGUGAUCCGCAAGCUGAAGACUUAUAAAGUGUAAUGGUAAAUUAGGUCGAUAUGUACGUGUUACAGGCUAUAACAUUAUGUAGAUAUAACAUAUCAAGUACACAAUUAUAUGCAUACCGGAUUUAACAAGUAACAACUCAUGUAGGUCGGCCCAAAAAUGCUGACAAAUUGGUACAUAUUAGUUAUUUUUUUGUGCUUAUAUCUUGGUGGAGAACAUGAUUAAAUGAUGUAAUAUACCUAAGUGAUACUCCUGUUUCUGGGUCCAUGAAGACGCAGAUAAGGCAGACAGUCUAUUAACAUAUGCGGCAGAGAAGUUGAAAUCAGUAUUAAAGUUGAUUAGGCCAACUCCACUUUUUUUGUAAAUAACUGUUACUCACAACUUGCUUUCAGAAAAGGGAACAAAACUGGCGGGAGCGAAUUCGAAUAUAUAUUAUCACCGCAAUAAUUUAAUAACCAGGAAACGAUGUUCCUGAAACAAUUCACAAAGCCAUUCAAGCACAGUAGGAGACUACGAGUUGCCCUCCUGCUGUAUAUGUCAAGAGCAUCUUCAAUGGGGCUCUUAAAUCACUCUUUAAAAUAUUAUUAUAUAAUAUUGGCUUCUACUGAAUUAAGACAUUGAAAAAGAUUUUAUCUCCAAUGCUCCUCUUUAGACUUACUCCUUAUUCAUAUUUUAUUCAUAUAAAUGAGAGUGAAAAAUAAAAAGAAAGAAAUGUUGGUGGUAAAGUUGGAGGGAAGGUAAUAUUAUAUUCAUGAAAAAAUGUUAAGAGCUCCUACAUACUCUUUAAAAUAGAGGAGAGAUGACGAGCUCUUAAUUUUUUAAAGAGCUUCAAAGAGCCCAUUGGAGCUCUAUUUCUUGCAUUACUCUUUAAAUUUGAAGUUAAAAACUCAUUUAGAGAUCCCUUUGGAGAUGCUCUAAGAAACAAAAGUUACUGAUUUGAUAUGGGGUUCAAUUAUCGUUUGUUAAAGUUGACUAUUGGAGUAAUUUCACUAUAGGGAAAUAGAAUCUCAUCUACUUGUAAUAUUUUGAUUGAAAUUCGGUGUAUAUUUGUACAAAAAUGAGUAAACGAGGGAGUGGAAUUAACUUUUGAUAAUGGAGGAACAACGGCGGUGGACCAGUCCCGGUUCUCAAUACACGGAAGAAUGUGCAAGAAAAUUGAGUGUGAACCCCAGUGGUGGGAACACCCUUUGUUCUUUUCUUAAUUUUUUCAAAUCUUUGUGUUUACAUGUUUUAAAUAAUUAAAUAUGUUUUGGGUUAAACCACAAAUAAAGUAUAGUCUGAUCCCUUUAAUCCUGCAAAUGUAGAAAAAGCAAAUGUGUACAGCUAGUAAAAAGACUGGAGGUACACAGUACUUUGCAGACUCAACACCCCUUUCCUUGGAAUCUUUUUUGUACUAUAAAAUCACACUUGCUCUGUCUACUCUUUCUUCAAACUCCCAACACAAAAACACACACACACACACACACACACACACACUUACAAGAGUUUGAAGAUGGCUUGGAGCUCACCAAGAUGGAAAUGGGUGGCAGUUUGUACUUUUGUAAUGGCUCAUACAGUUGCUGCUCAAGUUGAAGAUGGUAUCACUUCUUUCUUUCUCUUUUCUACAAAUUACAACUAUUCUUCUUAUUCUUUUUUAUUAUUAUUUGCAAAAGAUUAGUCUGUGUUUAUGGGAGUUAUAGUUUCAAUUUCUUAUAUUGUCAUGGGUGUGGUUUGAUUUCAUGGGUGUUCAUGUUCUUUCUUUAAAAUGAGAUCUGAGCAAAUACUGAGACUCGUGGAUAUGGAAUAUUUUAAUCACUUUUGAAGUACUCACAUUUAUGUCAAUAGGACAGUCAAUUCUCCUGUAUCAUGAACUACACAAACUCUUCUUUCACUUAAAGUUUCUGACCCCAAAAACAUGAGUUUGGUGCUGGAACCUUUAUUUUAGUGUAAAUUAUUGAAAUUUACGAUGUACCUAUUUCAGCCUCUUUUUUUUUUUUUUUCAGAUGUUGCCUUUGUGUUCAUCUAACUUGCAUGUUCUACUUUCCUACCUAUAUAUCAUUCAUUUGUUCAUCAAUUUAUAUUGGUGUCAGGGUUAUACAUUUUUCUUUGGUUUAGCGAGUGACUAAGCAUGUCCAAACCAGUACUAAAUGCUUGGUAAUUUUUUAAGUCAUUUACCUUUUUCUCGUCAUUUGAUUGCAGCCCUUCAUCUGGCGAAUUCAGUGGCAGUAAUAUCAGACUGGGAUCUAGGGGAGACAGCUACUACGAAUAUCUUAUUAAAGUAUGGCUUCAGCAUAGGGACAGAAACUACACAUAUUUAUAUGACAUGUAUGCAGAAGCAAUAAAAGGUGUCAAACACCUUCUUGUUCAAAAAUCUACUCCAAACGGAUUGGUCUUUGUUGGGGAGUUACCUUCUGGGUAUGGUGCUGAAUUCAGUCCAAAAAUGGACCACUUGGUAUGCAUUUCUAAACUGUUUUUUUGCCUCAAUUUUACUCAACCAAAGUAUGUCUGUAUAGAGGCAUAUUUGUUGGUAUUUGCUAAUAUAAAACAUGAAGCAGAUAUUUCGACCAGAAGUAUUCUGUAUAUUGGAAGGAUUGAGGAAUAUGGAUACGGACAAUACAAUUGAUACAAACAAUUAAAUUCUGCCCCUGGUUAUUUAAUACAUCCCCUUUAAGCUACAUGAACAAUUCGCCUUGUUUAAACUUUUUGAUGUAGUUUUCAGUGCCAAUCAAGGUGCAAAUUAAGUCCUCCGUUUUCUUUUACCUAUAUCUAAAAAAUGAGUAACUAAUCGCUCAAUGGUCAUUUUGAAAAUCUCUUUACUAUGUAACAUAUAUACUUGGUAAGAUAUCUCUAUACAUGUGCACUAUAAGAAAUUUACUUUUGACCUUACAACUUUGUUUUUCUCUGCUAUCUUAAGCUGCUAAGAGGAUUGUUCCAAGAAAAUGACGUUGGGCAUGGUUUCGAUCCAAGUAUAGUUUUAGGUUUAUUAUGCUAUACUUGUAAUUGUCCGCAUCCUUUGAUGCAUUGAUUAGAGAUCGUCUGCAAGUUAUUACAUUAAUUUCUUUGUUUCACCUGAUGCUCAUAAAAUAUGUCUUUGAAUACUAUACACUUUGUGAUUGUAAAAUAACAUCCUUCAUGCUCAUUUGCAUCGCUCUCCCUUGAUACAUGUAUCCACAUAUAACAGUGACAUGUAUCAUUACUUGUGUAAUAUAUAUAUUGAGCUCAGUAUCUGAGGUGUUCGGAAAUUAUUAUUUGUGGUUGGCUUAGUAGUUCCAGUUCUCUCAUUUUAAGCUAUUAUAUUGAUGAUAAACCAUCUACUGAAAGCCUGGCACAACAUCCUGGGUUGGUUUUUCCUAGAAGAUUUUCAGACUUAAAUACUAAUAUUUACAAUUUUUAGGUUUGUUUCCUUCCUGGGACUCUUGCACUUGGUGCUACCAAAGGUAUAACGAAGGAAAAGGCUAUGAGAGAAAAUUUGCUCACUUUCGAAGACAUUGAAAACCUGAAGCUUGCAGAAGAGUUGGCAAAAACAUGCUUUGAGAUGUACUCCGUAACUGCCACUGGUCUUGCUCCAGAAAUAGCCUACUUUAGUGUGAAG